CGGGUCCCACGGGGCGCAGCAGUGGGGAAUAUUGCACAAUGGGGGAAACCCUGAUGCAGCGACGCCGCGUGAGCGAUGAAGUAUUUCGGUAUGUAAAGCUCUGUCAGCAGGGAAGAAAAUGACGGUACUUGACUAAGAAGCCCCGGCUAACUACGUCCCAGCAGCCGCGGUAAUACGUAGGGGGCAAGCGUUAUCCGGAUUUACUGGGUGUAAAGGGAGCGUAGACGGCGAUGCAAGCCAGAUGUGAAAGCCCGGGGCUCAACCCCGGGACUGCAUUUGGAACUGUAUAGCUGGAGUGUCGGAGG
rnacentral:rRNA from 1 species